rnacentral:rRNA from 1 species
AGCGAACGCUGGCGGCAGGCCUAACACAUGCCAGUCGAACGAACCUUUCGGGGUUAGUGGCGGACGGGUGAUUAACACGGGGGAACGUGCCUUUAGGUACGGAAUACUUCAGGGUAACUUGAGCUAAUACCGAAUGUGCCCUUAGGGGGAAAGAGUUGUCGCCUUUAGAGCGGCCCGCGUCUGAUUAGCUGGUUGGUUGAGGUAAUGGCUCACCAAGGCGACGAUCAGUAGCUGGUCUGAGAGGAUGAUCAGCCACAUUGGGGCUGAGACACGGCCCACACUGCUACGGGAGGCAGCAGUGGGGAAUCUUGCGCGAUGGGCGAAAGCCUGACGCAGCCAUGCCGCGUGAAUGAUGAAGGUCUUAGGAUUGUAAAAUUCUUUCAGCGGGGACGAUAAUGACGGUACCCGGAGAAGAAGCCCCGGCUAACUUCGUG